rnacentral:misc_RNA from 1 species
UCCAGUUUAUCACUGGCAGUCUCCUUUGAGUUCCCGACAUUACUCGCUGGCAACAAAGGAUAAGGGUUGCGCUCGUUGCGGGACUUAACCCAACAUUUCACAACACGAGCUGACGACAGCCAUGCAGCACCUGUCUCACGGUUCCCGAAGGCACCAAGCCAUCUCUGGCAAGUUCCGUGGAUGUCAAGAGUAGGUAAGGUUCUUCGCGUUGCAUCGAAUUAAACCACAUGCUCCACCGCUUGUGCGGGCCCCCGUCAAUUCAUUUGAGUUUCGGUCUUGCGACCGUACUCCCCAGGCGGAGUGUUUCACGCGUUAGCUGGGCCCCUGAUCCACGUAGACCAAGGGCGAACACUCAUCGUUUACGGCAUGGACUAC